CGAAGCGGUGGUCAACGGUGCCGUCGACGUCGUCCUUGGCAGAAGGAUUUUGCAAGUUAAAUACUCAUGUGUGCUGAACUGAAAAGUUCUCUAUGCAACAUCUAUUGCAGCCUUGGACAGAAGAGGGCCAGCAACAAACAGAAGCAACCACUGUCCUGUCCA